CCGAAGGCAGCGGCUUAACCCACUGAGCCACCCAGAAUUGACCACAGCCCCCCCAACUUCCAGCAACCACUGUCCCGCACAGUCGGCAGCCACCACCAUCGAGUCCAGACCCUCCACCAGCAGAAAGAUUACAAUUCACGGACAAGUGUGCUGAGCCGAGUGUUGUGAACUUGAACGUCACUGACAUCCUUUUCUGAUGUCUUCCUGCUUUGUAGAAGAGAAGUUGGUAGCUACACUUCCCAGAAUCCUCUCUGCAUGGUUCCAAGAGAGAUCAUCUGGUGAGAGGCUCUUAUGUGAGGACGUGGGAAGACAGAGACAAUUAUUCUCCACAGGCAGAAGUGAACAGAUGCACGGAGAAGUAUAAAGUUCAAACAUCUUCCAGACACCCUUUUUGACAACUGUCUAUAUUGUGCUAUAGGCUGAAAUAGUUGGCGGGAGCACCUUAUAGACUCAUGGGUUUUGUAAUUUCCCCAGUGGGCUCUUGAGGACAUGAACAAUGGCUUGCUUGAUCUUUGCUUCCCCAGUGGCUGUGUAUGCCUUACUUCCCUGUCUUAAAACUCUUAAUACUCAGGAUACACAGAGUAGCUUCUAUUUUCUGCAUAAACUGCUGACUGCUACAGUAAGAAAUUAUUAAAUAACUUGAUACACAAUGAGGAAAACAGGACAGACAGAAGUAUACUGUGUUAUAGGAAUAUCUAUGAAGGGAAACAAAUCUCAGAUUGGGGGGAGGGCAUGGGAGAAGUGGUCUCCCUGAGUGGUCUCCAAACCGAGGCUUGAAGGAUAAAAGGGGGUUAGGUAGCCUAAAGGCAUGGAGUGGAGGAGAUGGGGGCUGUCUUCAAUUUGUGCAAAGACCCAGAGGCCAGAGGGGAGUUCAGGGAGGGUUUUGGUAGGUACCCCAUUGAGGGGGAAAGGUGGGUGGUGAGCCGUAACAGCAAUGGGGAGAUACUGCAGACUUUCAAAUAGUCAAGUGACCUGAUCAGGUUUAGGGUUUCAAACAAUUGCUCUGGCUAUAGGAUUAAGAAUGGAUUUCAAGAGAGCAAGACUGAAUGCAGGGACACCAAGUAGGAAGCUAUUGAGAUUUCCCCAGCCUGGACUUGGCCAUUGGCAGUGGGGCUGGAGAGAAGAUAUCAGAUACAAGAAAUUGUUCAGUGUAUGACUGGUGGAAAGCUUAGAGAAUGGAGGAAGUCAAGGAUGACUCAUCUUACACAUAGGGAGAGUGAAGCUCAGAGUGGUCAUGCAGCUCACCUAAGGUCACACAGCUCGGAAGCAGCGGAGUCAGGUGCAAGUCUCAAUUAGUCUAACUCUGGAGCCUUGGCUUUUAACUCUAAGUUCUCUAGCAUACAUAUCAGAACAUAGUCAUGGGUGUUCAAUUUUAAAAAAUCAUUAUCAUUUCCUAGUAGCUUUAACUCAUUUGCAUCGGUUUUUUUCCUCUCCAUUUGUGUGAAUGUUGUUGUAAUUAAAGGAAAAGGAAGGGUUAAAUAAGAUUUAGUCCCCUUACUAGAAUUUUGGUUUCAGUUUAAAGUAAAACCAAAAGGCAUUUCUGUUUUACUUCUUGAAGUACAUAAUCUGUAAUUCUGGAAGUUUUAGAGGCUAAAAGCUAUGACCAGCUGUCGUAUUUUGUUUGCCAAAUGACUAAGAUGAUGUGUAAGGUUGGGGAAGUUAUAAAAUAAUUAUCACAUAUUGCUCCCAAACACCUACUCUUCUAUUAUAUUUUAGAUGUUUUAAACGAGUCUGAAACAGUCGGAAACAAAUACUGACUUGUCCAUGAUUCUAACUCCCUUCUGUUCACUGCUGUCUCAAGCCUCUGUCUCUAGAACAAACCUCUUUGCUGAGUUCUAGACACCAGAAGCCAUCCCUAGACAAAUGACUCAGGCUCCCCAGACUUUCUAUGCUUCAACAAUCUCACCUCCCCACCCCGCAUUUUGUCCUGAAAUCCGCAUCAACCAAGUCAACAAAACCAGCACUUAGAAGUUGUUCUCGAUUCCUUUCUCCCCGAUUCCUCACACCAGCUCAACCACGAAAACCUAAUGACUCUACCUCUUCAGGAUCUUUGUUUUUUUCCUCUCCACUUCCACUGUUACUGCCUUAGCACAGGCGAGUGUUUCCAAAUGUCUGACACAAUACAUUUUGUGAUGUAGAAAUCAGAAAUCAGAAUUUCUGAAUUUCCAUAACACCUUACUUAAGUGUCUUUAAAUAAUAAAGAUUGACCACCAUAAUAAA